UACGGGGGGGGCAAGCGUUGUUCGGAUUCAUUGGGCGUAAAGGGUGCGUAGGCGGCGCGGUAAGUCGGGUGUGAAAUCUCGGAGCUUAACUCCGAAAUUGCAUUCGAUACUGCCGUGCUUGAGGACUGGAGAGGAGACUGGAAUUUACGGUGUAGCAGUGAAAUGCGUAGAGAUCGUAAGGAAGACCAGUGGCGAAGGCGGGUCUCUGGACAGUUCCUGACACUGAGGCACGAAGGCCAGGGGAGCAAACGGG
rnacentral:rRNA from 1 species